UGUGGACCCGCUGUCCUGCCACCAGACACUGCCCACAACAGAUGCCCCCCCCCCCCCGCAACUGACAUCAUUCCCAGCAUGAGCUUCACAAAAGCCGCAGGAAACCCUGCUCUGGGGGGUGGGGGCUGGGGCUCAAAAGCCACCAGCUACUAAGCGCCAGAGUCCAUGCUGCCCCUGCUCUGUGCCUCCAGCACAGGACCACCCCGUUAAGUUCCAAGGUGUCCACGAAGGCCGGUGGGCCCCACCCUGCACGGCUGGAGAGACCAGCCAACGUGGGGAGCAUGUGGGGCCACGGGCAGGCAGCAAGCUCCUCUCUGAGACGCGUGUGGCCCCCGCACUCACUGUGUGGCGACAGGCCUCCAGAAAGCGCAAGCACUCCCCGGCCACAAGGACGCCGUCCACCGGAGGUGGGCACGGGCAGGAGGGAGCUCUGGGGUCCGGGGAGCCCCAGGCACACCCACACCCCAGUGGGCAAAGGCAGGGUGGCCACAGCGGUCAGAUGGCUCCUCCCCCCACCCCUGGCAUUGCCACCUGGCUGGGGCACUGAUCUCAAAGCAGCCUUACCCUCCCAAGGUCCCCCCAGAAACCCGCUCUGAGUCCAGUGGCUUUGAAGGCACAGGUGUUCUCCAAGCCAGAGCACCAGGUAACCACGAAGGUGCCCUGACUGCGUCGUGUCAACACCAGUCACAGACGCUCCGUGGUGUCCGCAGACAGGCAGCAUGGCCAAGGCGCCACCCACAGCGUCCAGCCUCCGACGCCGGAAGGACCCGUCUGCUCCAGAGACACUGAAGGUGCCAAGCACAGAGCAGGGCUUAUGCUCAGGCAGAGGAUACGGACAGUGCACAUUCAGGCCCUGAGGUCAUCCCACAACACCUGGGUAAACCAGGACAGGAAACAGCCAGAGAAACGUGCCCCUGGGCGGGGCCCAGGCCAGUGCUGGCUUCCUGCAGCAACCCACUUGCUGGCCCCACACAGUCCUUGAGGAGGGUCCUCCUGGCUUAUGGGAGCUGAACCCCAUCGACACCUGCUGUGCUCUAGUUGGGCAGCCCUGCCCUGCUCCAUUUCCUGGUGGGGCUGGAAAGGUGAAGGCCAGGGGGCCACAUGGCUUACACAAUACACACCCCCCCCCGGGACCUGCUUGGGCCCCACCUGGACCCUCUGGAGGUGCCCCCUGCUCCCCAGCUGAAGAAGCCUUUCCUGGAUCAGGGCUGAGUCAGACAGAGCCUCGGCAGCGGACUCCGGCCCGCACAGGGACAGCUGCCCCCCACCGGAGGGUGGGUAGGUGCCGAAGACCCACCCGUCCACCGGAGAACACGACGCCUCCCCAGGGCAGCCUCCACAGGCGACCCCAGGACACUGAGGACAGCCAUGUAGGGGAAAUGCCCUGGCAGAAGGGAGAUGACCUCUCAGUCACACCCGUGCUGCCCGGAGGCAGAGGCCUAAUGCCCACACAAGUGACAGAACCCGCUUGCUGAGCCAAGAGCACACAAGCGAGACAGAACCACCGAAAAGAUGCUACAGAAGGGACAAGCGGCAUCCCACCAGCCACCAGAGGGGCGUCCAGCCAAGCAGAGGGGCAGUCUGCCCACACCUGUGCUCGGCAGCCGGCGGUGUCCACCCGACUCCCGCAUCUGGAGGCGGAGCAGCAGGUCCCCUGGCUCGGGGCUGCCGGCCGGGGUACCCACAACGGGUGGGCAGCACGAAGCUCGCCGCCGCCUGGGUGACUCCCUCCCUUUCCAGGGCCCCAGGCAGAGCGCACGUGAGGACCGGGGAGGACCCGGGCACAGGCAGUCCGGGGACGGAGGCAGCGCUCGGAAGCUUCGGUCACACAGUCUUCCACUGAGGUCUCCUGGCAGCAAGCCUACCCCGGAUAAGGUCAGACGUUUAUCUCCCGGGCAAAAGGACAGGCCUGGGAAACUGCAACUCCCUUGGCACUUGAUGCCCAAGACCAGCCGGCAAACCGAGUGGCCAGGCCCAGUGCACCCACACCCCCGGGGCCCCACGUCCACCGAAGUCCAGACAACCCUUCCGCAAAAGGGACAGGGAGACAGCCCUCCCGGGAAGCAGGCACUCCCAGGGCCCUGGACGAGGCCACAAGGAACGCAGGAUCAACAGAUCCCUGGGGAGGGGGCCUCAGCUACAGGGAGAGCCCACUCCCCUCAGAGGGGAGAGGGACCCGAAGAGAAGGCCCGCCGCUUUGUGUCCCUCUUGCAGCUGUUUCCUAAACAUCACAUGGCAACGCGGUGUUGACACACGCGCGCGGCUGAUCCUUUUGUAUUCGUUACUGUUAAUUACGGUGGAAACGUCCCGUAAUGAACCGUACAACACUGUAACUCGAUGAGGAGUACGGAGACCGGCCCCCACCCGUGGCGACCAGCGAGCGCGGCACACGUAGAAUUCACCGCUGUCACCACUCACACGAUGAUGUUGCCUCAUAAUCACAUUUUACCGGUGCGAUAAUUAGAUUAUUUCACUGCU